rnacentral:ncRNA from 1 species
AGGAGUUUGGCCUCCCGCAAUCGCUUUACAGGAAGAGGUGUAAACCGGUGUAUGCUGCUUUGUCCAAAAGCCAGGGUAGUAAGUGAUACAUUUAAAAGGCGAAAGAUAUCCGUCAGGU